UCUCCGUAGGUGAACCUGCGGAGGGAUCAUUACACAAAUAUGAAGGCGGGCUGGAACCUCUCGGGGGUUACAGCCUUGCUGAAUUAUUCACCCUUGUCUUUUGCGUACUUCUUGUUUCCUUGGUGGGUUCGCCCACCACUAGGACAAACAUAAACCUUUUGUAAUUGCAAUCAGCGUCAGUAACAAAUUAAUAAUUACAACUUUCAACAACGGAUCUCUUGGUUCUGGCAUCGAUGAAGAACGCAGCGAAAUGCGAUAAGUAGUGUGAAUUGCAGAAUUCAGUGAAUCAUCGAAUCUUUGAACGCACAUUGCGCCCUUUGGUAUUCCAAAGGGCAUGCCUGUUCGAGCGUCAUUUGUACCCUCAAGCUUUGCUUGGUGUUGGGCGUCUUGUCUCUAGCUUUGCUGGAGACUCGCCUUAAAGUAAUUGGCAGCCGGCCUACUGGUUUCGGAGCGCAGCACAAGUCGCACUCUCUAUCAGCAAAGGUCUAGCAUCCAUUAAGCCUUUUUUCAACUUUUGACCUCGGAUCAGGUAGGGAUACCCGCUGAACUUAAGCAUAUCAAAGGGG
rnacentral:rRNA from 1 species